GGAUUAGAUACCCUAUUAUACUUAUAAAGAAAUUGUGAAUAAAAUACUGGGAGAUUAAUAGUUAUAGUCUUUAAAUUUAAAGAAUUUGGCGGUAUCUUAGUCCUGUUAGAGGAACCUGUCUUAUAAAACGAUAAACCACGAAGAAUCUUACUUAUUUAAUAGUUUAGUUUGUAUACCGUCAUUAAAGAGAACUUCAAAAGGAUAUUAGUUAUUAGAAUUACUUGAGGGUAAAUAUAUUAGAUCAAGGUGCAGUUAAUAAAUAAGGUAAGAUGGGUUACAAUAUAAUUUUAUAUAGAAUGGAUUAGGAGAUGUAAUACUUUUAUGAAGGAGGAUUUAAUUGUAAGUAGAUUUUAAUAAGUUUUAUUGAUAGAGGCUCUAAGUUAUGUACAUAUCGCCCGUC
rnacentral:rRNA from 1 species